rnacentral:misc_RNA from 1 species
GAUGAAGAACGUAGCGAAAUGCGAUACUUGGUGUGAAUUGCAGAAUCCCGUGAACCAUCGAGUCUUUGAACGCAAGUUGCGCCCGAAGCCUAGGCUAAGGGCACGUCUGCCUGGGCGUCACGCAUCGCGUCUCCCCCAAACCGCCAAGGCGGAGGGGAAGGAAGAUGGCUUCCCGUGCCUCACCCGGGCGCGGUUGGCCUAAAUUUGGAGCCCGCGGCACUUAGCUCUCGCGGCGAUAGGUGGUGAACAAGGCCUUGGCCGUGCAAACAACCCGCUGCGAAGCUCUAUGUCACGUGCGCUCGUCGGACCCUUUGAAGUUGCCUUUGGUGACUUAAAACCUUUGCGACCCCAGGUCAGGCGGGGCUACCUGCUGAAUUUAAGCAUAUCAAUAAGCGGAGGA